CACACCAAUCAGUAGCCCUACGUCGAUCCACGCGCAUGGUUAACUAAAACAAUAUUUUCUUCACUUUUAAUUAUGAUUCUUCCUAUGAUUGGCAUUACACUGUAAUUGUGUAAUACAACUUGUAUCGCUUUAUUUGGCGAGCUACUGAGUCUGCGCACUAGGGAGCAAUAAGGAACUCAACUAUCAUUCUAAUAAAAUCCCAUGCAGAGCUACGUGGUUGACACAAACACAACUAGGCCAUUUUGCGUGAUCGAUUGUCAUUGAGUAACUUUACUUAGCUCGAUGUGCUACUAAAGGCUUCAUCUAACGUCAGAUCAAAUCAUCUCCGGGACAGGUACACAAAUUGAAACUACCUAGAACUUGGAGAAAACCAUGCCGAAGCCGAGCGCUUCCAAGGCGACAGGGAAAACCCGCAGGUUCAUCAGUGGUGUGGUGGAAGGCUUUUACGGGCGACCAUGGACUAUGGAACAGAGGACUGAGCUUUUCCAAAGGGAACUUAUUAUCCACCUUGUUGCUUUCACCGAUCCAGUCCUUACAGGAAGUUGUUCUUUUCACCGAUCCAGUCCUUACAGGAAGUUGUUCCUUUGACCGAUCCAGUCCUU